rnacentral:rRNA from 1 species
UACAUGGGGUGCAAACGUUUGCUCGGAAUUAUUGGGCGUAAAGCGCACGUAGGCGGCUUGUCGCGUCGACUGUGAAAACCCGCGGCUCAACUGCGGGCCUGCAGCCGAUACGGGCAGGCUAGAGUUCGGUAGGGGAGACUGGAAUUCCGCGUGUAGUGGUGAAAUGCGUAGAGAUGCGGAGGAACACCAGUGGCGAAAAGCGACUUUCUGGUCCUUUAAACUGACGCUGAGGCGCGAAAAGCAUGGGGGAGCGAACGGGG